CCUUUCAGUAACACCAUCUUGUGAUUUCCUUCAAACUUCAAAUGGAAUGGGCUGAGAUUUCUGACUGCUGCCGUAUAUAACUCUGGAAGCUCUUGUCCCCAAUAGGAUGUUCCCUACAGAACGAACAAGGAAGGACAAAGGAGAAGAUUGGUACAUGUACGUUAAAUUAUCCAGAGUAGGAGAAAGAGCUAAAAAGGCACGAUGCACCAUACAGAUGCUGAAUGAGCCAACUUCUGACCAAAGGGAACACAACUAAUCUGAUGGUUGGAGUAACAGAGCUAUAACUUGGGAAUAUUAUAAGUUUCACAGGCCCCACGUUGAACAUCUCCCCAAAGAACUCACUCCAAGCUUGCACAAGGGGAUUAUCAAAUUGAGUAUGAUGGGAAGGCAGGCCAGUUCUACCCCGCCAACUAAAUUUGUUUAUUUGUGUUAUGGAAUCCUUAUUUUUAUAAAUAGUAUUUCUACCAUUUCUAAGAAUUGAGUCUCAGGAAAGGGAAAUCACAAGAGAAAGAUCUAGAAAUGAAGAUAUUAAUAAAAAGACAGAAAUAGUACAGGCAAAAGAAGAGAAACUAGAAAUUCCACGUACAGUACGAGUAGCCUUAGUGUAAAAACAGAGAAUGAAACUAAUAAAAACAAUGAAGAUGAAGAGUUGGUGGAAGUACGGGAAAUAAUUGAAAUCCCCAGAAGAUCGGAAAGGGCUAAUAAACGUGUACCACAAAAGAUUUAUGGUUCUAGAGGUAACAUUUAAAAGAAAAAUUGAAUUGUAAAAUCCUGUGAAUUUAACAGCAAAUUGUGUUUAUGUAUGUAUGUAUGAUUUAAACUGGGGAUUUUUGCAAUCGAAAAUAGAAGGUGUCAGAAAUAUUAAAAAUUAACUAGUUAUUUUUAAUUACAGGCACUUUUAAUUACAGGCAUUGAGAGUUCGUAGGCCGAAGCCUGUGAGAGUUAAUGGACCAAAGCUAGUGUAGUCCAAAAGAGAGUGAGUAGGUCGAAGCCUGUUAGAAUGAGUGUUCUGAGAAGUGUGAGGUAAAUCUCUGUGUGAGAGAAACCUCGUGUGAGAAAGCUCCCCUGUGAAGGCUGUUGGGUGUAAAGCUAUUAUGUAUUUGCUUAUUUGUGUUAUGGAAAUCUUAUUUUUGCAAACAUAUUAUUUUGCUAUAAAGAAAGCCUCCUAUGGACGAGA